rnacentral:rRNA from 1 species
CAUUGCUGGAACGCGCCCCAGGCGCACCCAGAAACCCUUUGUGAACUUAUACCUUUUGUUGCCUCGGCGCUGCUGGUCUCUAGUAGGCCCCUCACUUCGGUGAGGAAAAGGCACGCCGGCGGCCAAAUCAACUCUGUUUUUACACUGAAACUCUGAGAAAAAACACAAAUGAAUCAAAACUUUCAACAACGGAUCUCUUGGUUCUGGCAUCGAUGAAGAACGCAGCGAAAUGCGAUAAGUAAUGUGAAUUGCAGAAUUCAGUGAAUCAUCGAAUCUUUGAACGCACAUUGCGCCCUCUGGUAUUCCGGAGGGCAUGCCUGUUCGAGCGUCAUUUCAACCCUCAAGCAUUGCUUGGUGUUGGGGCACUGCUUCUAACGAAGCAGGCCCUGAAAUCUAGUGGCGAGCUCGCCAGGACCCCGAGCGCAGUAGUUAAACCCUCGCUCUGGAAGGCCCUGGCGGUGCCCUGCCGUUAAACCCCCAACUUCUGAAAAUUGA